rnacentral:rRNA from 1 species
UACGUAGGGGGCGAGCGUUACCCGGAUUUACUGGGCGUAAAGGGCGCGUAGGCGGCUCGGUAAGUAGGGGGUGAAAUCCUGCGGCUUAACCGCAGGGCUGCCUUCUAAACUGUCGAGCUUGAGCACGGUAGAGGCAGAUGGAAUUCCCGGUGUAGCGGUGAAAUGCGCAGAUAUCGGGAAGAACACCCGUGGCGAAGGCGGCUCUCUGGGACGGUACUGACGCUGAGACGCGAAAGCGUGGGGAGCAAACAGG